rnacentral:rRNA from 1 species
GUCUAUGGUCAUGCCAUCCUGAAUGCAUCCCGUCUUAUCUGAACUGGGAAGCUAAGCAGAGUUGUGCCUGGUUAGUACUUGGACGGCAGACAGCCUGGGAAUGCUGAGUGCUAUAGAUA